AGGUUCUUCUCUUGAUCUCUAGCGUAGAGAUCAAUAUCCUCCUACUUUUUCUUUUUCUCUAAGAUUGUCUUGAGAGAAAAAAAGAUUUUCAACUGUCAAGAUGUGAUCUUUGCAAGGAAGCUAACAGUCUGAUGAGAUCAAAAAGCUUCUGAUUAGAUUAGAGCCUCGUGUGGAUAUCCAUAAAGGUCGGAUGCUUGUGCGGCUACAAGAAACCUUCGAAAAACAUCCAUGAUCAUCAGUUUGCGGUAA
rnacentral:lncRNA from 1 species